AGUGGCGAACGGGUGAGUAACACGUGGGCAAUCUGCCCUGCACUCUGGGACAGCCCGGGAAACGGGGUCUAAUACCGGAUACUGAUCCUCGCAGGCAUCUGCGAGGUUCGAAAGCUCCGGCGGUGCAGGAUGAGCCCGCGGCCUAUCAGCUAGUUGGUGAGGUAACGGCUCACCAAGGCGAAGACGGGUAGCCGGCCUGAGAGGGCGACCGGCCACACUGGGACUGAGACACGGCCCAGACUCCUACGGGAGGCAGCAGUGGGGAAUAUUGCACAAUGGGCGAAAGCCUGAUGCAGCGACGCCGCGUGAGGGAUGACGGCCUUCGGGUUGUAAACCUCUUUCAGCAGGGAAGAAGCGAAAGUGACGGUACCUGCAGAAGAAGCGCCGGCUAACUACGUGCCAGCAGCCCCGGUAAUACGUAGGGCGCAAGCGUUGUCCGGAAUUAUUGGGCGUAAAGAGCUCGUAGGCGGCUUGUCACGUCGGUUUUGAAAGCCCGGGGCUUAAGCCCGGGUCUGCAGUCGAU
rnacentral:rRNA from 1 species